UACGGAAGGUAGCAGUGGGGAAUAUUGCACAAUGGGCGCAAGCCUGAUGCAGCCAUGCCGCGUGUAUGAAGAAGGCCUUCGGGUUGUAAAGUACUUUCAGUCGUGAGGAAGGUGUUAAGGUUAAUAACCUUAGCAAUUGACGUUAGCGACAGAAGAAGCACCGGCUAACUCCGUGCCAGCAGCCGCGGUAAUACGGAGGGUGCGAGCGUUAAUCGGAAUUACUGGGCGUAAAGGGCACGCAGGCGGUUAAUUAAGUUGGAUGUGAAAUCCCCGGGCUUAACCUGGGAAUGGCAUUCAAGACUGGUUAGCUAGAGUCUUGUAGAGGGGGUAGAAUUCCAUGUGUAGCGGUGAAAUGCGUAGAGAUGUGGAGGAAUACCGGUGGCGAAGGCGGCCCCUGGACAAAGACUGACGCUCAUGUGCGAAAGCGUGGGGAGCAAACGAGGAUUAGAUACC
rnacentral:rRNA from 1 species